rnacentral:lncRNA from 1 species
CUCCACCCCUCUCAGGGAUGGGAAGUAUCGUUUAGCGCUCCGUUGUACGGCUCGUUUUGGUGUCAGUGCGGCAGGAGGACGCUGCGGGGCGCUCUCCGCCGGGCAAAGAGGAGUAAAGCGGAGUAAAACGGAGUAAAGCGGAGCUGGGAGAUGCAUCGGGCUGUGUCCGGGCGUACCUGGAGGAAGCCCGGACCGAAGCGCUGGCCACAGUGAGUGACCGGGGCAGUUUGGGAAAAGGAGACGACCGCAUCCUGGGUGACAUCUGCCGGAGGGCACGGGGGAAGAAGAGUCAAGGCUUCGCCUCUCUGCCCUGCUCCGAGUGCAGCCGCUAUCUCUUUCCUGCCCGGGGAGCAAGCUGUGCGGGUGGCCCUUGCCCUGUGAGGGUCUGAAGCGCGGUCACACUGGGGCAGAUAACUUCCUUAAGGUCAGAAGUAUUACAGCGGUUGCAUCUGAUCAGUUGUGCUAGCAUUCACAGAUACCUUUGUGAAGUCUCUGCACAGUGCAUGUGUUUACUUCAGUGUCCUCUGGAGAGGGAUAGAGCCUUUCAAAUCAGGUGCAGCACAACUUGACUGCACCCCAAGUGAGUAGGAGUUGAAGGGUAAAUUAGUGGCUGGAGGAAGAGUAGGAAUUCACAGAGAAGUUGCUUGUGAGAAGACAUGUCAAGAACAGUGAGCUCUGGUUGACCUGUUAAAUGUGUGGUUUGGGUCACUUGAGAUACGAAGAGGCAUGGUAUACUUGUGAGACACAGCUCUUGUGGCACAUAGGACUUCAGCACUGUGAUAAAUGGGCAGCCUUUGCCAAGGGUCUGCUUGGUUUGAGACUUUAGAUUUGUUAGUUUUGCAUACUGACAGGUGUUAUUUGGCUGUUGCUGAAAGGACAUCUUGGUUUAUGACUUGCAUGGUUUUUGUUUGGUAACUUUCAGCUAAGUAAGUCAGGCUGGUUAGCUGUGGCCCUUGUUCUUUAUCAUCACCCUUCUAUGUUGUUUUAGAUUUAUGUGUGCUGGGAGAAAAAAAGGAGUUAGGAGUCCUUCCUUUCUUCCACCUUUCCUACUGACGGAGUCUUCUCUGACCAAGAGGUAAUGCAAUGCUGCCUUUCAGUUACUCUGAUUCCAGAAACCUCACCAUGUGAUGACAAAAAUAUAGUGUAGGUUUGAAUAAUACUUAGCGUUGAAUUAAAUCAAGUGAAAUUAGACAUUCAAUUCUAAAAGAGUUGUGAGAAAACAACUUGUCACUCAUUUCUAAGAUAUUACGGUUCUAAAAUUCUGUAAGUUGUUAAAAGAUUCUAAGAUUUUACAUGUUAGUUUUGUGGAUCGUUCUGUAUCUGAAAUAUAUUAGGAUUCCUCAAUGCAUCUUUUAAACAAGAUGUCUGUUAUAAAUUAGUGGCGCUUACAAAUUCUUGUCUGAUGUGGUGCUGUGGUAAUUUCAAUACAGCAUGUAAAUAUGGAAAUAAUAUGACAAGUAUUGAGCAUUAUAAUCCAUAACAGAUCCACAGGAUAAAUGUGAAUUCCUCCUUAAAAGAGAGCAUGGAAAGUUGCCCGAAUGUCUUUUUAGUAUUGGCAUCUAUCUGAAUCUUUAAUGCAUCUGAAUCUUUUGUCCAUCACUCUUUCUCUUCUGUGUGUGGAUUGUUAGUUUUGGCUUAUUGAAUUUUGUUUGUGGCCUUUUGUUCUUUUUUCUUUUAUUUAUUUAUUUAUUUUUCUGAAGAGCAACUCUCACAAAUGACCUCGAGAGACUUUACAGUAUACCCCUAGCCUGAAAUGAUGGAAGAUUUACAUCAGAUAUAAGGAAGAAAUAUUUUACAGUAAGGAUGACGAGGCACUGGAACAGGUUGCCCAGCAAGAUGGUGGAAGCCCUGUCUUUGGAGACGUUCAAGGUGAGGCUGGACCAGGCUCUGAGCUAUGGGUAUCCCAGUUCAGUGCAGGGGAGUUGGAUCAGAUGGCCUUUAUGGGUCCAUAAAUACAUAAGCUGCUGCUUGAACCAGCAAAACUAUUCUAAUUAGCUUAUUUUCUAAUAGAUGAAUUCAAAGUGGUGCCAUGGUGGCUUUCUAUUUUCUUUUUUUCCACAAAUAGUCUAAGUAAUCGAUCUAUCUUUUCCUAGUGGAAAAAAAUGUUCUCAAUACUGUGUCAAGUUUCAUAUCAAUAUUUUUAAUUAUCCUAAGAGAGCAAGACUCAGUAUUUGUGAGUUUUUUGCAUUCAGCUGCUCCUGUCAUUAAUUUUUAUAUUCAUCUUAACAUAUGAAGUAACUUUUCCUGUUACGUUUUAAAAUUCAUUGGCAGCCUUUAGAAAUGAUUAUAAAAAGUCUAACUGCAAAAAUAUUCUAUACUUUCUGAAAAAAAAGAAGAUAUUGUGUAGGAGUGAGGAAAAAGAGUGUAGGUUUAUGUUUACAUUGCCUAACAUAAGCUUGUCUGAUUAUGGUCAAGUACAAUUGUCAUAUAUUCCACUUUCAAUUUCUGUAACAUCUUCCUCCUCUCAGUUUCUUUUACUACCAAAACCUGCUGUCCUUCUUAGUUCCUCCGUUGUGGGUUUAGUUUUUCUUGACUAGAGGAAGGGAGUAUAAGAGUUUUCAAGUGUUGGUUUACUUCGACUUACGCUGGAGAACUUACAUAUUAGAGACUUUGUGUUUCUAGUAGUUUCUCAGUGGCUAUCAAGAUGACUCAGUUGACUUGCAGUUGAUCUGGGCAGUAGUUACUUAGAGAAACUGAAAAUAUAGCCUUAAGUCUUUUUUUGAGGUUGAUGCUUUUGAAGGUGUGGUGAAGGCUUCUUGUUUGUUUGUUUAAAUGACUUUAGAGUUUUGUCCAAACUUGAAAACUGCAAUUAUCAUUUAUGCUUGAGCAUUACCUUGGGCUAUCCAAUUUCAAAGGGGAGAUUUUCUUCUCUAUUUCACCUCUUCCCCCUGCCAAUCCAUUUGGGAUCAACUUCAGUUUGUUUGUGGUUUUGUUUGGUUUGGGUCUUUGUAUGGCUUUUGUGUUUUGUUUGUUGUUAUUUUUUUUCUUCCAGAAAGUUGCAAGAGCCUUGUCCAGUUCUAACAGCUGAGUAUAUUAUUGUCCUUGCUAAUGCAAGUCUUGACUCUUCUGUUUGUCCUUCUUAUUUACACAAAGAGAUGCUACAGUUCAACUUUUGAGUUUUCUUCUUUUUAGAUUAUUUUCAUAAUGUUUUGCAAUAUGAGGAGCUUAGCAAAUCAAAAACAAUAUGGUUUUGGCAAAUGCCAAUACCACUCCUUUAUGAAAGGAGAGUUGCUGUCAAAAAGGAAAAUAUCUUAAUCUUACAUGUUCAGGUAAUAUCCUUGCUUUGUUCAUUGUUUUUAAAUAUUAUACUUCCACAUGGUCUCAGGAAAGUUUAGAUGGAUGGAUGUGUCCUGACUAGUCACAGUCAUCUCCUACAGUACGAGAAACCCUUACCAGACAUUAGUAAAUGGAGAUUGCCAUUUACUACUAUUACUGUUAAGUUAUUCUGGUUGCAGUCAAGUUUGCCCAUGGCCUUCUAUUUGGAAGGUAGAACAGGAAAACUUUCAAGAUGAGCAACUUAAAGUAAUAUCAGUUUUAAAAUGCCUAAUGCUUGUUGAAGAGCUAUGUCUGAUGUGCAGCUGCGUUAUGAGAAUACAUCUUAAGCAGAGGCUUAUAUCCUUUAUUGUGAAACAAAGCUGGAAAACUUGAAAUGCCUAACUUGUUCUAGUGUGACUUGACGCUUUUCUCAGAAAAAUCUUGGCAAUGAAACCCAAGGAACCGGCUGAAAACUGGUAUCUCGCUGAGACCUUUUCAGGGCAUUUGAAUAGUUCCUUAAAGAGCCAACUGCUAAAGCUAAGUCAGAGAGCUGAGAAGGUGACUAGCUUGGACUUUCUGCAAGUGAAGUACCACCUCUUUCCAUCUAUUCAGGUUGGGUUUCUACUUAGCUUAUAUUGGCUCUUCUCUCUAAGAGAAACACAACUCCUGUAGUAUAGGAACUUUUUUAAAAAAUAAACACUGCUGUAAGAAAACUGUGUUUUCCCAAUUUCCUGGGAAAUUCUUCCUGGUUCUGCUGCCUUCUUCCUUAGCAUUGCGUUUCAGGCUUUAAACAGGUCCCUCUCUCUCACUCUAAGUAGUUUCCUGAAUGUGCUGUUGUGUUGUGUUUUGUCACCCUGUAUCUGAGAGCUAUCUGCUUGUUAGGCAUAGUUUGUGGGUGGUUUUUCUGUUUGCUUGUUUGUUGUUUUGUUUUGGUUUUGUCUGCUAAUGACAUUUCAGUGAAGGGCUACAAUAGUUUUGAGAGAUGAUGUGUUGUAUUGAAGGGUGGUCACUGUACUUACUGGACUCUUACUAAACCAGUAUCCUGAUCUUCGCUAUCAUCUCUUCCCAGAGAUUGCACUUGGUAUAAUAAUAUAUAUUGGACAAGGCUUUUGAAGGGAGGUAAUCAUCUUUUAUUAGGCUGGCUUAUAAUGGGACAGGGUGCCAGGCAAGCUUCAGGUCACACAGUGACCUCAAUGGUUUAUGUGCCUAGACAUGCAUCAGAUCUUUUUUCCAGCUACGUUAGUCUAAUAAAAGGUAUUACAUCUCCAUGGAAACACUGCCUGACUUGCAGUCUUGGUAAUAGAAGGCUGCAGCAACAUGGCAACCAUCAUCAAAGCUGACCAACAUGCUAUAUACUUUUUACACUUUCCAGGCCCCACUGUGCUGUGUGCACUUAUUUCAGCUCUUUUAUAUUCAAGAUCUGAUUAAUUCUGCUUUGAUCAACAGUCUUUCUGUUAAGUAAAUUUUGAAUCCAAAUUUAGUUUGUCUGGCUUGAAAUGAAGACUUUCAUUUUGGACCGUCUUUGCUAUCUUUCAACAUUGCUUUAGUAUGUGUUUUAAUAAAUGAGAUCCAGUUUAAUAACUGUAGGAGCCUUAAAGAUCAAUUCAUUCAUGCUUUGUAUACAAGCUUGUAUAAUUUAUCAGAAUAUUUGUCACAUUUUGUUUUCCUUUUACAUAAUUGUUCUCACAAGCAGACGAAUACUUCAUGGGAUAACCUUUAUUGCUGUCCUUUGUUUACCAAGUGAAGGAUACUACAAACUUGAUGAUGCCUAUUUUAUGUAGAGUGUAUCUCCUGUUUGAGAUAAGUAACUAAAUUGAAAAGCAAUUUAAUCGGUGUGUUAGAUUGCAUCAAUAAUGAUCUCUUAGUUUCCUAUCUUCUCUGUUUUUACGAAAAUACAUUUUUACUUCAUGAUAAAGGAAGAUUCAAAUAAUUAAUUUGAAGAGUUUAGUGUUAAUUACAGAUUUUUUUUUUCUUUUGCCAAUGUUGAGCAGUACUGAGAGCUACUGAAAUGUUUCCUUUGAGCUUUCAGUGGAAAAAGAUCACAGAUCACAGAAUCACAAAAUCACAGAAUGGCCUGGGUUGGAAGGGACCUCAAGGAUCAUGAAUCUCCAACCCCCCUGCUGGGCAGGGCCACCAACCUCCCCAUUUACUAGACCAGGUUGCCCAGGGCCUCAUCCAACCUGGCCUUGAACACCUCCAGGGAUGGGGCAUCCACAACCUCUCUGGGCAGCCUGUUCCAGCACCUCACCACUCUCCUGGUAAAGAACUACCCCCUGACAUCCAACCUAAAUCUUCCCUCUUUCAACUUAAAACCGUUCCCCCUUGUCCUGCUGUUAUCUACCCUUUCAAGAAGUUUACUUCCUUCCUGUUUAUAGGCUCCCUUCAGGUACUGAAAGGCUGCAAUGAGGUCACCCUGCAACCUUCUCUUCUCCAGGCUGAAUAAGCCCAGCUCCCUUAGCCUGUCCUCGUAGGGGAGGUGCUCCAGCCCCCUGAUCAUCUCUGUGGCCCUUCUCUGGACCCUCUCCAGCAGCUCUCUGUCUUUAUUGUACUGAAGGACAGUACAAGAAAUACUUUCUUGUACUCUGUCUUUCUUGUACUUUGCAAGGAUCUUGACACUAAGCAAAGCAAGUGAGGCAUCAACAAGUCUUAGUCAGUGAUAAACCAUAGCUACUGAGUGAUGCCAAUACAAAAUUUUAGAUAGUUUAAAGUCAUGUGAUUAUGUCCACUUCUCAGUGACAGAGGUACAGGAGUAUACUGGUGUCAGCACGCAGAUGUGAACUGUAGGGACUUCUAAGCAAUAUUAUGGUUUAAGUGAAUAGGAACAUCAGUUAUUGCGUGGAAUUCUUUGCUUACAUCCUAAAGCAGCCAUUCUUUAAUUCUAGGAGAAGACUUAGAUUGGAAGGGACCUUAAAGAUCAUCUGGUUCCAACCUCCCCACCCAUGCCAUGGGCAGGGCUGCCACCCACCAAAUCAGGCUGUCCGAGACCCCAUCCAUCCUGGCCUUGAACACCUCCAGGGAUGAGGCAUCCACAGUUUCUCUGGGCAGUCUGUGCUCUUUGCUAGAUAUAAUCCCAACCUACCCUCUUUUAAUUUAAAACCAUUACUGCUUGUCUUGUCAUGACACCCUCUAGUAAAGAGUUCUUCCACAUCUUUCCCAGAAGUCCCUUUUAGAUUCUGGAAGGCCACAAAGGAGGCCUCCCUGGAGCCUCCUCUGCUCCAACAACUUAUCCUCUCCUCCAACUCUUCUAACAAGCCCAGCUCCCUUAACGUUUCCUUGUAGGAGAGGUGCUCCAGCCUGAUCAUCAUCUUUGUGGACUCCUCUGGACUUGCUCCAACAGCUCUGUGUCCUUCUUGAGCUGGGGGACCCAGAGCUGAACACAGUAGUCCAAAUGGGGUCUCACAAGAGUGGAAUGGAAGGGGAGAGUUGUUUCCCUCACUGCUGGCCCCAUACUGGUGUUGUGCUGUGUUGUGUUGUGUUUGUGUUUUUAGAAAUGAGCUACUCAUUUCUAGCUGGCUUAUGUCUAGUUUUUUUUGUCCACCAGUACAGCUAGUAUAAUUGCUCAUUAAUAGCUAAUGACUGGUAAAAGCCCACGAGUAGACCUCUUGUUAUCCUUUUCCAGAUUGUUAGUUUACAGUCCUGUAGCCAAACUCUGGGCCUACAAAAGGAAAAAAAAAAAAAAAAACAGAAAGAAAUGAAGCUGCAGUCCAGCAGAACCUGCUCAAGAACUGCCUGCAGAAAACCUCUUAAACCAUUAUCUCUUAUUAAUAGCUCUUCCCUAGAGUAACUGGUGUUGUAGAGCAUAUACUUGCUCAGUCUUGGCUAGAGCUACAGUCAGUCUACGCUUGAGUUCACAGUUUAUAUAUAGAUGUUAGAUGGUAUAUUAAUGAGCACAGUAGUUAGUCACUACUUCUCAGCACAUCUCAAGGGAGUUUGUUCUCUAUAUACAUAAAGAUUUUUCGUUUUCCCUUGAGCUCUGUCUCAUUAAUAGUUUACCUUAGUAAUCACCACCACUUUUCAUAGUCUUAAAAUAACACUGAUAUAGAUAAUGAAAGUCUUGUAGUGCUUUUUCUUAUUACCAAUGUAAGAUUUAAAUAAUCUUAUGCACAAACAGUAAGGAAUGUAUGCAGCUGACAAGUCAGUAACUUUUGGUAUCUUGCUUUAUGAGAUCUGUAUUAAUGCAGGUUUGGGGUAGUCAACAUUUAAAAAUAUAAAAUAAAAAAAAUGCUUAAUUAGAUCAUGUCUGUUAUAUUCUGUUGUAUUUUUGAGAUCAAACUGAUUGAAAAAAGUGAGAUUUUUCAUUACAUUCUCAAAUUGUCUUGUUUGCCAGUAAUUGUUAACAUCUACACGUGGUUACUUUAAAUUAAUGUUCAUAUGAUAUCUGUUUAUUUCUAAGCAUUCAACUUAAUAUCAUAAGCAGAAUUCUACAUUUACUGUAUGCUGUGGUUUAACUUGACAGGCAGCUUAGCACCAUACAGCUGUUUGCUCCUAGUGGGAUAGGGGAGAGAAUCAAAGCUGGGGGGAAACCAAAGUAGAUCUUGUGAGUUGAAAUGAAAAUUACUUACUAAGACAGAAAAGGAAGACAAAAAUAAUAGUCAUGAUAAAUAUAUAUAUAUAUAUAGGUAUACCAUUACCAUUAUAUAUCUCAUUAGUGUAUGUAUACUUAGAAAACAAAUUAUGCAUAAUGAAAUUGCUCACCACCUGCUGACUGAUGCUCAGCCUGUCCCUGAGCAGCAGCUGCUUCUCCCAACCAUCUCCCUCAGUUUUAUAGUUCUACAUGAUGUCAUAUGGUGUGGAAUGUCCUCUUACCCAGUCUGGGUCAGCUGUCUUGGUUCUAUCCCUUCAUAGUUCUUCCCCCCCCCCCCCCCAGAUCCCCUUGCUGACAGGGCAGUAGGAGAAGCUGAAACAUCCUUGGAUCUGUACAGCACUGCUCAGCAACAACUAAAACAUUGGUGUGUUAUCAGCAUUGUUUUCUCCUGAAGCCAAAACAUAGCAUCAUACCAGACACCGUGAAGAUCAACUCUGUUGCAGCUGAAACCAGGACGCUAAAAAAAAUUCUAUCAGUGGGUUGAUCUCCAUAUGGAAGGUUUUGAGGACAUGACUGGGCAGAGUGGUGAACAAUACCACCUCGACUCCCAUUUCCUAUUAAAAGUUGGACUAGAUGAUCAUUCAAAGUCUCUUCCAGCCUGGGCUGUUUUAUGAUUCUGUAGUUGUGCAGAGCAGAAAUGACAUUUCUUGAAACCAGGAACCUUUAAGCACUGGAAAAAUAUUUUAGUAGUCACACUAUAUCAUUAGCACAAUAAUGUCAAUGUAUGGGAAUGGUAGCCUUUUUAUUAGGCUACUUAAAAAAAAUAUUAAUUUCUUGAACGUGAAUACUUGUGUUUAGUGCUGCUCUUUAAUGCUUUACCUGAAAUACCAAGGAAGAAUUCUGCAUUUAAUCUUUUACAUAAGUGGUAUAUGGGGUUGUAAGCAAGGAUAGAAUGUACUUAAAGAAAACUUCAUUUUGAAAAUCUUGGGAUUGUUACCUGGGAUUAUUCAGUUGUAUACUGAAUUCUAAAGUAUCAGAUCUGUUUUCUGGAUUGGUUUGAAAAGCUUUAUUCAAUGAAAACUCAUAGCACAACUAAGUAGUAUUGAUUGAAAUGAAGUGUGGAGCCUUCAAGGAUGAAAUGAGUUUUCUGAAAGACUGCAAAAAAAGUGUGCCGUGGUGAAAAUGUAGUAGGAAAAAUAAUGUGGUGGCCUCAUAACUCUUUUCGUCAGAGGAUUGCACUCAUGUCAGUGGUAGAUAUUAAGCUAUUGUUUUCUGCUCGAGCUGUUUGAAUAAGAAGGUUGACUAUUUGCUCACCAAGGUUCCCUAACAAUUGCUAAGAAGAUUAACAGUUUAGUAACAGCCUAACAGUUAAACAGUUAAAUAAUAAAACCUGGAGUCAGUGCAGUGGUUAUGAUCAAAAUGUCACAAAUCCUUUUCAUUUGAGUAGGAAUUUCCAUAAAUCCAUGGUAUCAAGUUUCUGAAUCUGCAAAUGCUGUAUUAGGAGGCCUAUUCUUAGUCCUUAUUGAUGCUGAUCUGUUAAUAGAGACCACCAACUUCUUACCUGUGACUGAAGUACAAAGUCCUCAUACGUUGCAAUAUCUACACUGAGAUAAAGCAAACUACAGGAGAUCUAUCCAUUCUGUUGUCCCUUUAGCAAUGUUGAAGCAAAGGCAUCUUAGCACUUUGUGUUGCUGUUAAGUAUCCUCAUUUACCUGUUUGUGCCUGUAGCAGUAGUCUCUUUGACACUAUUUGAACAAUCUAAACUUCACUUGAAUAAUUUCUUGUGUGAUAAACUAAAUAGUAUUGAAUAAAUCACCGAGGUGCUUUGGUUUUAUUUUGUUCUCCAGACUUUGGAUAAUCACUGAAUGCUAACAGAACUUAUUUUCUGGAAUGAAGACAAAUGUGGAGUUUUUCUGCUUUGAAUCAGGGUAGAAGAGAUUUUGAAGUGAUACUUCUGUACUGUUUGUCAGCUUCAAACAGCUUUAAGCUUCUUCUCAUUCUAUCCCUUGCUGACCUUUCUGUAGUAAAGCCAGGUGGCACUUGGAUGUUGUUCUUUAAGAGACCUUUUGAUUUCUGCUGGAACUCAUGAAGAUACAUCCAGGUAUUUAUUGCAAUAAAACAGGUCUUUCCCUGAAGAUAAAAAGAGAUUAUCCUUUGAUUUAAAGAAAUGUUCUUGUCAUCUUCAAGGUUUCCACAAAAAGUUUAGGGUGAAGCACAGCUCCGUCUAUAGGUAAUCAAAAUCUGUCUCAGAUGUGAAGGAUGAGGUCUCCUGAGUAAUGUUUUGUUCCACUCCCUUAAGACACGGGGAUCCUUAUAAUUAGCAGUGAUGUAUACAGCAUAUAUAUCCAAACUGUGCUCCCAUGUUCUGUCCUGAUGUUCCUACAAUAGAGGCUGGUUUUGGUACAGCUGCCCUGCAGAUAAGUACAGCACCUCUUGUCACAGUGAGGUUAAAAGAGUGUUACAGAAUUAGUCAGCCUGUACAAACUGUAGUUACAGCCUGUAUGUCUGAUCUUUGUGGCUUUCCCUGCCUUUGAAUGUUUGAAAGAAGAGCUCUGCACUUAGUGGUCACCUAGCGACCGUGUAUACAAUACAAGAGUGUUUUUUUUUUCUCUUUUUCAAGUUACAACAUCUUGGUUUAGCCAUAGUUAUGAGCUGCUAAUGAGUGUCAGGUUACAGAUUAAGUUUUUCCUUUUUCCAGUGCAAAUCCAGAGACAUAAUGGCAAGCUUUUUUACAUUUAAAACAAAAUAUCAAUAGAUCUGACCUCUUGUAAUUUUAUGUCUAUAGGUACAGAAAAGCAGUGCUCUGUAUUUGAUUGCUGGUUACCCUGGCUGCAUUUGAGUACAUCUGUGUUCUGUUGUGGUUUUAACCACUGCAUAACAUUAGAACUAUUACACAAUGAUUUCAUUUUACUUCCACGCUAACUCCUACAGUCUUCAAUAGAAAUGCACACAGGAAGCAGGAUUUAGUGCUAGCUUUACUACAUAUUUAAUCGUCUUCUUCAAACAUACAGCUUUUACGAUAGUAAUCUGAAGAUUUUCAACAGUUUUUGAAGAUUUCUGAAGCCAGCAGGAUUUCUGAAGCUAGUGGUGAGGAACGGUUAUGGAAAGAAACUGGUUUGUGUAAUUAAGAUAAUUAAGCCAGAAAUCACACUUUAUAUUCAGGGUGAGAAUAAAGCUGCAAUAGAAGUUCACUAAGAAAAUGUAUCUUGACAAACCAAGCUUUUGAGAAGCUGGGAAAGUUAGCAAGCUGAAAACAUAGAAGACAUUGGAGUAUCAGUGUUCUCAAGAAAGAUGAUCUAUGAGAUUGCAUGGCUAUCUUAUCUUUCCGGCCUCAAAACAGAUGCAACUUCACUAGAAAUAAUAGGAGAGAUGUGUGUAAGAAACUGAGAGUAAAGCUACACACCAGUGGCAUUUUAAGACUGGGUGAGGUUGCACUCCAUAGACAGAAGUCUAGAUGUCUUCCACAACUUCAGGUGCUUUCUAAUACUAGCAUGGCAGGGUUACCGUGUUGGGAUUUAAUUAUGAUGCAAUGCUUGGUUUUAGUGUUGGAAAAAAUCUGAAUUGGUCUAGAAGUAUGGCUUUCUAUGCAUUCUUUUAUCACACAACUAACCUCUAUGUUUAUGUUUUCUUUCUGGAAUGCAUCCAUUCAAUAAACAUUGAGUACUCAAACAUCGUAGUAAAAGAUGUGAAAAUGAAGAACAUCUAACAAGAAACUGAACUGUGUUCUUGUACUUGCUAUUUGUUUACAUUAAAAGAUUUCUUAUAACCCAAGGCUGUGUUUUCUAAUAUUUUAUUUCCUUUUGACACAUUUCAUUUCUGGCACUUGUCUGUUGAUUAGCAAAAUACCAAGUACCUGGUAAAGGGCUUAGCCUAGUUUUCAUUCUACAGUUUAAAUCAGGUGAAAAGCAAGAAUCAUCUUGCUUUUAUUGCUUUCUGCCUUUCCUCAUGAAUCCAUUGCUGGGAGGAGAGAAACCUGAAGGUAUUUGUUCUAACUCAUGCUUCCUUAGCUGCUCACUUUCACUCCUAGACCUUUCUCUCCGUUGGGAUGAUGCAACUGCUUUUGCAUGAGAAUUAUUUGAAGUGGAUUAUAGAAUUGAUUCAAGUUAAAUAUGUAUUGUUUAUAACCCCUUUAAUCCAAUUUGCCUUGAUUUAAUAUUGCAGCGUGCUGCAGGAGGUGGCACAGUGGAGAGGGAAUGGAAGGGGCUGAGUAACAUGGCAUUGUUGAGGGGGUAGGGAGAGAAAAACACUUAUCAAUCCUACAGCCAUUUGGAGAUUGCUCCGUGUUCCCUGUACAAUUAUGAAGGAACAGUACCUAGCUGAAGAGAACUAGAGGACAGCUGUUUCUGAACAUGGGGGAAAGUCAUCUUAUUUUUUUCAUAGGUGGGAAGAGAAAAAGACUGUUACAUUUAUGGGACUUCUUCAAUAAUAUAACUAGUAAAUGUGAAAGUGAAAUGUCCUCAUGGUUGUGUGUGUGUGUGACUGGCUUAAAAAACAAUCAAACAAACAAAAAAACCUUAAAAUACAUCUGGCUACAUCCUCAGACUUCUUCCUCAGUACUGACUGGAAAAUCUUAAUGAUCAAUGGGAAAAUGAAAGUAAUCUGUUAUUCGUAAUGUCCCUGAAGAAGGUGAUAGUGGGAUCUGAUUGCAGCUCUUUUUAUACUUCGCCUCUCCCUAGCCUCUAGGUAAACUUCCAGUUGCUGGCUUUGUCUUGUUUUUUAACAUGUACUCUCAGUGUAAUAGCCAAUUUUUGCAGGGAAGAACAUGUAGCCUAGCAAGGAACAAGACUGGUAGCAAUUUCAAAAACAGCUUGAUUACAUUGUGCUUACUAAACAAAGAUGAUGACAGUUGCAAUUGCAGUUGGAGCAUAGAUAGUAUUUCAGUUCCAUUUGAACAGCAGUGUGUGGUUGCUACAAUGGUAAUUUUAACCAAGCUGGAAAGGAAAAAAGAAUCCUACGAAAACUACAGUGAGUCACUACCUUCUCCAGUAUCUCACAAUACAGAAAAACUAGCCAUUUCAGUUACAUUUCUGGAUAUUAAUUAACUUUUCUUUCGCCUUAAACUUAUAGGAACUUGAAAAAGCAACGAGCAAGAGUGGAUUAGACACAGAUACUGAAAAAUAAAGUUCUGCUUGUUCGGAUUCAGUGCAUGUGGAGAAAGAAAACGAAUCAACGAGUCUUGUGGCUAUCCAAAAAAAUGAACAGUACUUGAAUCAACUGCACGAGGACAGCACAAAACCUAGAAGACAUUCACUUUGAAAGAGCAACCUCUUAAAAGCUCUCUGGAAUUUUGUCUACCUUGUGUACUGCAAUCAGUUGCAUCAUCAAGACAAAAUCUCAAAGGCUGUCCCAGGUUCAAGGAGGAUUAACUCAAAGCCAGGCCUCUUAGGAACGUUCUUAAGCAGAUCCUGACGUGUGCAGAGUUUGGUCUCCUAGGAAAAGAGGCUCUUACUUAAGUGGCAUAGUGCCUUGUUUUAAAGGCAGAAAGCAUGGAUUAAAUUUGGUUCUGAAGUGCUGUGCAUAGCGUUUCAUGCUACAGAUUUUCAAGGAGAGUUUACUUGUGCCCUUUGAUACUUGCUCCAGGGGCAGUAUUUGUGCAGGCCCGGUGACUGCUUUAUCUUUUGCCUUCACUGUGAUCAAUAUAGGCAAAUAAUUAAAAUAACUGAAUUUGAAACAUCAUAGAGCGUCUGAGAGUUAAGGUAGCCAAGAAAGACGAGCUUUUUAUCAUAGCAACAAUGCAACCACCUUUGAAUGUCACGUACUGCAGCCACAAAAAGAAGAGUAUUGCCUUGAAACCUAUCACCUUACCUCAGCUCCCAUGUCAUUGUCAGUUGUUGUUUUGUACUGUGCUACUUGUCCUUAGGAAAAUCUGUGGGCUAGCGUGUGGGAAGUUGACAUAGACUUUACUCUGGGUCUGAUGUAAGAGGAAUUCAUACAGGCUGCUAUUGCCCUGUUGAGCUGUUCUUUGGCUAUCACUGAAGUAUAGUAUAGAAUAGUAAAGAAUUGCUAUAUGAGGGUUAUUCUUUGUGACAUCUGCUUUUAAGUAUAUAUGAAACUGUGCUAUCGAACAAGAUUCCAUCUCAAAGCUGAGAUAUCUGUUGCCAACAUUCACUCAGGAGAGGGCAGGGCUGCCAUGAGAGGAAGAAACUGAUGCUGCUGAGAUUUUAAGUAUAGAUGAUGUCACAAUAAAUAGCAAGCUAUAUGAGUAGCUUUAUUCCGCUGGCUUUCAGCCCACCUUGGAAGCAAGGUCUGGCGACAGCGCGCUCCUCCCUUGCUGCUCCCCUUCUCCCCCUGGCCCGCCCCUGCGGCUCCCUCAGUCCCGCCCCGGAGCAGCAGACGAGGACCCAUUGGCCCCCGCCCUCCUCUUCUUUGCAUAGGGGAGGCCGUGUCCGCCCCAGGCACCGCCCCUCACGGGUGUGCAGCCGUGCGCGCGCUGUUGUGGCACGUGAGGGCGGCGCACGUGGGUCCGUUAUGUAAAGCAC